CACGGUGGAUACAGCCUGUGCCGACGGGCACUUAAAACCUUGCUAUUUACAUAUACCUUGUUUUGCUGAAAAAAUAGUUUAUUUUUGGCAUUUUAUAGUUAAAGUAUGAUAUCGAAGAUGAUAGUAUGUCGUAGGUUAUAAAGGCCCUUGAAAAGAAAUGGAAGGACUUCAAGUGUGAAUUGAAAAAAAAGCACUAUGAUGCCCAUAAAAUUUAUGAGGAACGUGUAGCUGAUCGUGAUCCAAGGGUCAUUCCUGAUCAAUGGAAGCAUUUAGUUGAUUUUUGGAAUAGUGAGGAAGAACAGGCUCGUUGUUUAAGGAACAAGAUUAAUCAUUCAAAGCAGGUUACUUUCCAUACUGCUGGAUCGAAAAGCUUCACUCAUAUUCGUGAAGAGGAAAAUGUUGCCAAUGUAAAAGAAGAUGCUGCCAAUGGGCUUGAAAGAGAUGCAUGGUACUCGUCAUCAUCAUGCACUCAUGCAAUUCCAACUCAUAGGGUUUGUUUCUACAUCAUGCACUCACGCAAUUUAGUACCUUUUACAAUUUAAUUUGUAAUAAAUACAUAUUCUAGUACAAUAUGAAAUAAAUUUUCUCCAAAUUGUAGAUACAUCAAAAGAAAAUUAAUGAGGAUGCAGCAUGAAAUAUCUCGAAAUGAAGUAAGUUGCCAUUUUGAAUCUUUUUAAAGCAUUUUAACUUUUGUUUAACUCAAUGUGUAUUGAAAUAUCUUUCGUAAUGCUUGAAAAUGGUAUAUAGGAUGGAAAAGAAGUGACAUUAAUGUCUCUCGGAAAACCACAUCGUCCUAUGGCACGAGGAAUUCUAUUUAGUAGAGAUCCAUCUACUAUAGUUGGAGGAGAAAAACUAGGCCAACAGUAUUGGGAGGUGUAUAUUGAGGUUGUCAUAAUGUCCAAUGAGAGUCUGAUUCGUAGUUUUUAAAACUUGAAGACAGUUAGUGAUGCUACUCGAAAAUCAAUUGUUUGGCCCUCUUAUAUUAAGAUGGAAAGUGAAGAAAUCCUAUGACUUUGAACAUUUUGGAGAUAGCUGGUUUGAAGCUAUAUGAUCUGAAUGUUAUGCAAAU